AUGCUGGGCGGACUGUACGGCGACCUCCCGCCGCCCACCUCGGCGGCCGGCGACGACGACAAGCCGACGGCCUCCGUCUGGUCGAGCGCCACCAAGAUGGCGCCGCCGACCCUCCGCAAGCCCUCCGCGACCUUCGCCCCUCCCACGUCCCUCCUCAGGAACCAGCACCCCCGCCCCGCCGCUCCCAAGCCCAGCGCCGCGCAGCCGCCGCACCCCCUCCCCCUCGCCUCCGCCACCACCACCACCACCACCGCGGCCUCCUUCCACCCCGCCCUCGUCGCCGUGCAGUCCACCGUGCUCGAGGAGUACGACCCCGCCAGGCCCAACGACUACGAGGACUACCGCAAGGAGAAGCUCAAGCGGGCCAAGGACGCCGAGAUGAAGAAGGAGCUCGACCGGAGGCGCCGCGAGGACCAGGAGAGGGAGAGGGAGCGCGAGCUGAGGGAGGCCGAGGCCCGCCUCCGCGAGGAGCAGUCCAGGGCCUCCUCCCUCAACAUAUCCGGCGAGGAGGCCUGGAAGAGGAGGGCCGCCAUGAGCGGCGCUGGCGGCGGCGCUACUCCUCAGAGGGCCUCGUCUCCGCCCCACGGCGAUGCCAGUGGCUUCUCCAUCCCAGGCUCCUCCUCCUCUGGAUUGGGCCUGGGCGCUGGCGGCCAGAUGACCGCUGCCCAGAGAAUGAUGGCCAAGAUGGGGUGGAAGGAAGGCCAGGGGCUUGGCAAGCAGGAGCAGGGAAUCACAGCGCCUCUGGUUGCUAGGAAGACCGACCGGAGGGCAGGGGUUAUUGUCGAUGAGAGCAGUUCCAGGAGGCCCAGAUCAGCCAACUUUGAAGGCCAGCCCACCAGAGUAGUGCUUCUGCGCAAUAUGAUUGGUCCGGGCGAGGUUGACGACGAGCUGGAAGACGAGAUUGCCUCGGAAUGCUCCAAGUUUGGGGCUGUGUUACGCGUGCUGAUAUUCGAGAUCACCCAGGCAAACUUCCCCGCGGACGAAGCAGUGAGGAUCUUUGUGCUGUUCGAGAGGACAGAAGACUCGACCAAGGCGUUGGUUGAACUGGAAGGGCGCUACUUUGGCGGACGCAUAGUGCACGCGACCUUCUUCGACGAGGGAAGGUUUGAGAGGAACGAGCUUGCUCCGAUGCCCGGGGAAGUACCAGGGUUCGACUAA
rnacentral:rRNA from 1 species